AACACUGUUAACCUGCGGUACCUGCGGAGGGAUCAUUAUUGAAUAAACUUGGUCAAGCUGUUGCUGGUCCUUCGGGACAUGUGCACGCUUGCCACCAAUUUUAGCCACCUGUGCACUUUUUGUAGACUUGGAAACGUUUCUCGAGGCAACUCGGAUUGAGAACUGCUGGCGCAAGUCGGCUUUUCUUAUGUUUUCUCAGUCUAUGUUUUCAUAUACACCUAAUGUAUGUAUCAGAAUGUA
rnacentral:misc_RNA from 1 species